rnacentral:rRNA from 1 species
AGAGUUUGAUCCUGGCUCAGAUUGAACGCUGGCGGCAGGCCUAACACAUGCAAGUCGAGCGAGAAAUUUCCUUCGGGAAUGAGUAAAGCGGCAAACGGGUGAGUAACGCGUGGGAAUCUACCUAUUGGUGGGGGACAACUGUUGGAAACGACAGCUAAUACCGCAUAAGCCCUGAGGGGGAAAGGAGCAAUCCGCCGAUAGAUGAGCCCGCGUUAGAUUAGGUAGUUGGUGAGGUAAUGGCUCACCAAGCCUAUGAUCUAUAGCUGGUUUGAGAGGAUGAUCAGCCACACUGGGACUGAGACACGGCCCAGACUCCUACGGGAGGCAGCAGUGGGGAAUAUUGGACAAUGGGGGAAACCCUGAUCCAGCGAUGCCGCGUGAGUGAAGAAGGCCCUAGGGUUGUAAAGCUCUUUCAGUAGGGAAGAUGAUGACGGUACCUACAGAAGAAGCACCGGCUAACUCCGUGCCAGCAGCCGCGGUAAUACGGAGGGUGCAAGCGUUGUUCGGAAUUACUGGGCGUAAAGAGUACGUAGGCGGCUUUUUAAGUCAGGCGUGAAAGCCCCGAGCUUAACUUGGGAACUGCGUUUGAUACUGGAAAGCUUGAGGGCAGCAGAGGAAGGUGGAAUUCCAGGUGUAGCGGUGAAAUGCGUAGAUAUCUGGAGGAACAUCAGUGGCGAAGGCGACUAUCUGGAUUAACACUGACGCUGAGGUACGAAAGCGUGGGGAGCAAACAGGAUUAGAUAUCCUGGUAGUCCACGCCCUAAACGAUGUCAACUAGCCGUUGGGAACUAUUAAUGCUUAGUGGCGCAGCUAACGCGAUAAGUUGACCGCCUGGGGAGUACGGCCGCAAGGCUGAAACUCAAAGGAAUUGACGGGGGCCCGCACAAGCGGUGGAGCAUGUGGUUUAAUUCGAUGCAACGCGAAGAACCUUACCAGCCCUUGACAUCCUGCGAACUUUCUGGAAACAGAUUGGUGCCUUCGGGAACUGAGAGACAGGUGCUGCACGGCUGUCGUCAGCUCGUGUCGUGAGAUGUUGGGUUAAGUCCCGCAACGAGCGCAACCCUUGUCCUUAGUUGAGCACGUAAUGGUGGGAACUCUAAGGAGACUGCCGGUGACAAACCGGAGGAAGGUGGGGGUGACGUCAAGUCAUCAUGGCCCUUAUGGGCUGGGCUACACACGUGCUACAAUGGCAAGUACAGAGGGUCGCAAACUCGCGAGAGUAAGCUAAUCCCACAAAGCUUGUUCUUAGUCCGGAUUGGAGUCUGCAACUCGACUCCAUGAAGUUGGAAUCGCUAGUAAUCGCGAAUCAGCAACGUCGCGGUGAAUACGUUCCCGGGCCUUGUACACUCCGCCCGUCACACCAUGGGAGGGGGCUUCACCAGAAGUGGGUAGACUAACCUUCGGGAGGUCGCUUACAACGG